rnacentral:rRNA from 1 species
GUGGGGAAUUUUGGACAAUGGGCGCAAGCCUGAUCCAGCAAUGCCGCGUGCAGGAAGAAGGCCUUCGGGUUGUAAACUGCUUUUGUACGGAACGAAACGGUCCUGGCUAAUAUCCGGGGCUAAUGACGGUACCGUAAGAAUAAGCACCGGCUAACUACGUGCCAGCAGCCGCGGUAAUACGUAGGGUGCGAGCGUUAAUCGGAAUUACUGGGCGUAAAGCGUGCGCAGGCGGUGCUGUAAGACAGGCGUGAAAUCCCCGGGCUCAACCUGGGAAUUGCGCUUGUGACUGCAGUGCUGGAGUGCGGCAGAGGGGGAUGGAAGUCCGCGUGUAGCAGUGAAAUGCGUAGAUAUCAGGAGGAACACCGAUGGCGAAGGCAGCCCCCUGGGCCUGUACUGACGCUCAUGCACGAAAGCGUGGGGAGCAAACAGGAUUAGAUACCCUUGUAGUCC